rnacentral:rRNA from 1 species
AGGAUAAACGCUGGCGGCGUGCCUUAUGCAUGCAAGUCGAACGAGACCAAGGCUUCGGCCUGAAGUCUAGUGGCGGACGGGUGAGUAACACGUACGUGACCUGUCCGGAAGUGGGGAAUAACCAGCCGAAAGGUUGGCUAAUACCGCAUACGGUUACUGCUUGGAAGCAGCAAACCAAAGCCGAAAGGCGCUUCCGGAGGGGCGUGCGGCCGAUUAGCUAGUUGGUGUGGUAACGGCGCACCAAGGCAUUGAUCGGUAGCUGGUCUGAGAGGAUGGUCAGCCACACUGGGGCUGAGACACGGCCCAGACUCCUACGGGAGGCAGCAGCAGGGAAUUUUGCGCAAUGGGCGAAAGCCUGACGCAGCAACGCCGCGUGGGGGAUGGAAGGCGUCUUGGGUCCGUAAACCCUUUGCCGGGAAGAGUAAUGACGGUACCCGGCGAAUAAGCCACGGCUAACUACGUGCCAGCAGCCGC